CGAAUGCUGACAUAAGUAACGAUAAAGCGGGUGAAAAGCCCGCUCGCCGGAAGACCAAGGGUUCCUGUCCAACGUUAAUCGGGGCAGGGUGAGUCGACCCCUAAGGCGAGGCCGAAAGGCGUAGUCGAUGGGAAACAGGUUAAUAUUCCUGUACUUGGUGUUACUGCGAAGGGGGGACGGAGAAGGCUAUGUUGGCCGGGCGACGGUUGUCCCGGUUUAAGCGUGUAGGCUGGUUUUCCAGGCAAAUCCGGAAAAUCAAGGCUGAGGCGUGAUGACGAGGCACUACGGUGCUGAAGCAACAAAUGCCCUGCUUCCAGGAAAAGCCUCUAAGCAUCAGGUAACAUCAAAUCGUACCCCAAACCGACACAGGUGGUCAGGUAGAGAAUACCAAGGCGCUUGAGAGAACUCGGGUGAAGGAACUAGGCAAAAUGGUGCCGUAACUUCGGGAGAAGGCACGCUGAUAUGUAGGUGAAGUCCCU
rnacentral:rRNA from 1 species